rnacentral:rRNA from 1 species
GCUACACAUGCAAGUCGUGCGGGGGUGCGAUGAGCACCUCAGCGGCAAACGGGUGAGUAACACGUGAGCAACCUGCCCUCAGGAAGGGGAUAACCCUCCGAAAGGGGGGCUAAUACCCUAUAAUGCCUGAGGCCACUAAGGUUUUCAGGCCAAAGGGGGCCUCUGCUCUGCAUGCUCCCGCCUGAGGAGGGGCUCGCGGCCCAUCAGGUAGUUGGUGGGGUAACGGCCUACCAAGCCUAUGACGGGUAGCCGGCCUGAGAGGGUGUCCGGCCACAGUGGGACUGAGACACGGCCCACACCCCUACGGGGGGCAGCAGUGGGGAAUCGUGGGCAAUGGGCGAAAGCCUGACCCCGCGACGCCGCGUGGAGGAAGAAGCCCUUCGGGGUGUAAACUCCUGUCGGGGGGGAAGAUGCGGACAUGGGUUAAUAGCUCAUGUUCGUGACGGUACCCCCAGAGGAAGGGACGGCUAACUACGUGCCAGCAGCCGCGGUAAUACGUAGGUCCCGAGCGUUGCGCGAAUUCACUGGGCGUAAAGCGUCCGCAGCCGGACGGGUAAGCGGUUCGUCAAGGCCCACCGCUCAACGGUGGAAAGGCGUACCGAACUGCCCGUCUUGAGGCACGCUCAGGCAGGCGGAAUUCCCGGUGUAG